UACGUAGGGACCGAGCGUUGUCCGGAAUCAUUGGGCGUAAAGAGCGUGUAGGCGGCCAAUUAAGUCCUGCGUGAAAUCUCGGGGCUCAACCCCGAGCGGUCGUGGGAAACUGGUUGGCUAGAGUGCGGGAGAGGAGAGUGGAAUUCCUGGUGUAGCGGUGAAAUGCGCAGAUAUCUGGAGGAACACCGGUGGCGAAGGCGGCAUCCUGGACCGACAUUGACGCUGAUGCGCGAAAGCCAGGGGAGCAAACGGGAUUAAGAAACCCGUAG
rnacentral:rRNA from 1 species